AUUGAACGCUGGCGGAAUGCUUUACACAUGCAAGUCGAACGGCAGCACGGACUUCGGUCUGGUGGCGAGUGGCGAACGGGUGAGUAAUAUAUCGGAACGUGCCCAGUCGUGGGGGAUAACGUAGUGAAAAUUACGCUAAUACCGCAUACGAUCUACGGAUGAAAGCGGGGGAUCGCAAGACCUCGCGCGAUUGGAGCGGCCGAUAUCAGAUUAGGUAGUUGGUGAGGUAAAGGCUCACCAAGCCGACGAUCUGUAGCUGGUCUGAGAGGACGACCAGCCACACUGGAACUGAGACACGGUCCAGACUCCUACGGAGGCAGCAGUGGGGAAUUUUGGACAAUGGGCGCAAGCCUGAUCCAGCAAUGCCGCGUGCAGGAAGAAGGCCUUCGGUU
rnacentral:rRNA from 1 species